rnacentral:rRNA from 1 species
GACGAACCGAGCGAACGUUGUUCGGAAUCACUGGGCUUAAAGGGCGCGUAGGCGGGUGCUCAAGUCCGUGGUGAAAUCCUCCGGCUCAACCGGAGAACUGCCUCGGAUACUGGGCGUCUCGAGUGUGGUAGGGGUAUGCGGAACUAUCGGUGGAGCGGUGAAAUGCGUUGAUAUCGAUAGGAACUCCGGUGGCGAAGGCGGCAUACUGGACCACCACUGACGCUGAUGCGCGAAAGCCAGGGGAGCAAACGGGG